UACAGAGGGGGCAAGCGUUGUUCGGAAUUACUGGGCGUAAAGGGCGCGUAGGCGGCCUUCUAAGUCGAACGUGAAAUCCCCGGGCUCAACCCGGGAACUGCGUCCGAUACUGGAAGGCUUGAAUCCGGGAGAGGGAUGCGGAAUUCCAGGUGUAGCGGUGAAAUGCGUAGAGAUCAGGAAGAACACCGGUGGCGAAGGCGAUCUGCUAGGCCGCAACUGACACUGAGGGACGAAAGCUAGGGGAGCGAAUGGG
rnacentral:rRNA from 1 species